UCCCAGAAUCAGCUCAGCACGAGCAUAUAUGUAAUGGAAAAUGGAGGAAAAUCUCACUGAGUGACUGUUGGACAAAGUCGAGCACAGGUCAAAGUUACCAAUUCAGACACCUGCAGAAACGCGCCAAAGCUGAAACUCGAAAAGCUCCUUCAACUUCAAUCUGAGAGAACAUGAUGCUUGUCUUGCAUCUUAUUGAGGUCGGAGUGCACUCAAAUAUUACGGUUUCACAAGCAAUUGCCUCUUUGCCAAUAUCAAGUAGGUACAAUAUGUUUUUUGUUGCUGAUCACGAAGGAGAGAAGGAGUUCCUAGCUUUGAAUGUGUAGAUCAGGUGCCUUUUUUCUUUUUUUCGAAACGAUAUUUGAUUAUAUUACUUUCAAACAUAUGCAAGUGCAAGCAAAGGCUCAAGUUAACUUUACAUUCAGUGUGCUUGACACUGAGGAAACGAGAGUUCCUCAUCGAUUGUGAUGCCUAAGGCAUAGAUGCUAAUCCUAGAGAUUAGAUGAUUCUUAUCACUAUUAGCUAGACAAAAGGAACACAUAUGAAACAGCCCUUUCAAUUGGCCAAUAUCUUCCACCAACAUAGCUAUUCUAAUAUCACUUGCCUUCUGUGCUCGAAUGUGGUUGAGGAGUUGCUUGUUUUGCACUUGGAAUUCCACUUUCCUUUGUUGCAAGGUGGUAGCUUUGCUCAUGGCCAGCUUUAGUGCCACUGCCUCGUGAACCAGGAAAGAUGGAACAAAUUUUAGGUACUUGCAAAUUGCUAUUACAAGUGAUGCCCAGAAAUUGAAACUUGCUCUGAACCAUGUCAUUAUCACGGUCAACAACCCACUCUAAGUUUGAACGAGUCGUUUCUUAACACUUCAGGGUGAACUCCAUUACCUUUAGCUAUAAGUUGCUGGUGUAGCCGGUUGUGUAACUCCUGCUGUUCUAAAAAUAGCUAGGGAAGUACUUUGUGCAGCAUCUGCUCUCUCUCUCUCUGACUCUGCAAUUCUUUUCAACAAAUGUUCUGGUCAUUGGGCGUGUCUGCAGUUUUUUCCUUGUGCCAUUUGAUAUUGGUACUCCAAGAAAGAACAUCUGACAUUUCAAGAGACAUAGGAACAAUCCUAAGCUGUCUUAGCAGGUUCUUAAUUUAAAGCACCUAAGAAGCAGUAUACCAUACAGAAGAUUGCAGGAAAACCAAAAGAAAUUGACAAACUAUUGGAGCAUGCAUUGAUGACGUGAUCAUCUUCUUGGAUGGCUGGCCUGCAUCAAAUGCCUCAGUGAAGCAAGAUCAAAGAGGGAAAAGAAGUUGUUUCAAGAAUUGUAGAUCAACUUCCAGCCAGUGGAAAAUGGAAACGAGCAGAAAGCAGGAAUGCCAAUUGAAUGAAUAUCCUGAAAAUGUUGACAGAUGAAUUCAGGGAAGAGAAAACAGGCUCUAGCUCUCUGCAGGUAGCCAUCACUAAUGAUGCCUGAAAGUGAAACAAGCGUUUAACGAUGCCAUGAUGCCACUAUCGCAAUUCUGCAUUGGUGCACUGGUAAGUUUGUACAAGUUUUCUAACACUUCAGAAGUUGGACUACAUCCUUGAUUAUAAGUUGCUGGGUAACUGGCAGUGCAAUAUCCAUGUAACUUCUGCUCUUCUAGGAAUGGCUAUGAAAGAUAUUUGUGCAGGUUUUUUUGUUUUCACUCUCUCAUCUUUUGGCUGUGGGAAAGGAGGGAGGGAGAGGGGAUACAAGGGGCUGUAGAAAGGAAAGUUAUCUGGAAGAUAGCCAGAUUGUCGUUGUCUGUAUAAGAAGCUGAUGCUCAAUGCUGUCACAUUUUGUGUCUUGCACCAUUUGAUAUUCAUCCAAAAUAGUCGAAGGGCCGUAUAGUUUGUUGCUAAACUGGCACAGCCAAAAUGGUUUUUUUUCAUGUCUAAUUAUUAAUCUUUAUUCCACAAAAUUGGAAAGAAGAUGAUGAAAGCCAUCUGUUCAGGUAGUUCUUCAUGUUUCCAUUAGCCUAUAAUCUGGAAUUUACUUUACCUAUUUGGUGUUUUGUAGUCAAUAUAUGUUCUCUCUGUUCUUUCCGAAUUUCCGCAUAGUCCUUUAUGCAGGUCAUCCAAUAAAGAGCAUCAAACAUAUAUUGGAAUUAUACUUGAAGCUUUUUGCCUGUAAUUGUCAGACUACUAUAUAGAAGGACAACCAAAAGAAAUUCACAAACUACUGGAGCAUGCGUGGACUAGUUGAUAGUCUUUUGCAUUACUGGCCUGCAGCGAAUGUCUCAACUGGAAGUAUUUAUGAUGCUGGCAAGAGAGAAUCCUUUGAUUCCUGCAUUUUAUCUUACAGUUGUGUUCCUUCACUUGCAAUAUCCACAAGUAGUCAUUACUCCUCAAUGAUGAAGCCUACACUUUAAUUGCAUCAGGAAGGGGAAGAAGUCUUGCAGUAAAAUUUCAUUUGCUCUUAAUCAAGUGGAAAU